GCAACCGGAAUGCGAAUUUGCGAUGUGGC
rnacentral:piRNA from 1 species